UACGUAGGGCGCAAGCGUUGUCCGGAAUUAUUGGGCGUAAAGAGCUCGUAGGCGGCUUGUCACGUCGGCUGUGAAAGCCCGGGGCUUAACCCCGGGUCUGCAUUCGAUACGGGCAGGCUAGAGUGUGGUAGGGGAGAUCGGAAUUCCUGGUGUAGCGGUGAAAUGCGCAGAUAUCAGGAGGAACACCGGUGGCGAAGGCGGAUCUCUGGGCCGAUACUGACGCUGAGGAGCGAAAGCGUGGGGAGCGAACAGG
rnacentral:rRNA from 1 species